rnacentral:rRNA from 1 species
CCUACGGGCGGCCGCAGUGGGGAAUAUUGCGCAAUGGGCGAAAGCCUGACGCAGCGACGCCGCGUGAGGGAUGAAGGUCUUCGGAUCGUUAACCUCUGUCAGCAGGGAAGUACGGUCACUGUGCUAAUCAGCAGUGAAUUGACGGUACCUGCAAAGGAAGCACCGGCUAACUCCGUGCCAGCAGCCGCGGUAAUACGGAGGGUGCGAGCGUUAAUCGGAAUUACUGGGCGGAACGCGCUCGUAGGCGGUAUGUCAAGUCAAGGGUGAAAUCCCCGCGCUCAACGUGGGAACUGCCUUUGAAACUGGCAAACUGGAGUGUGUGAGAGGAUAGUGGAAUUCGAGGUGUAGGAGUGAAAUCCGUAGAUAUCAGGAGGAACAUCGGUGGCGAAGGCGACUAUCUGGCACAUAACUGACGCUGAGGAGCGAAAGCGUGGGUAGCAAACAGGAUUAGAUACCCCAGUAGUC